GACGAACGCUGGCGGCGUGCUUAACACAUGCAAGUCGAACGGAAAGGCCCUGCUUUUGUGGGGUGCUCGAGUGGCGAACGGGUGAGUAACACGUGAGUAACCUGCCCUUGACUUUGGGAUAACUUCAGGAAACUGGGGCUAAUACCGGAUAGGAGCUCCUGCUGCAUGGUGGGGGUUGGAACGUUUCGGCGGUUGGGGAUGGACUCGCGGCUUAUCAGCUUGUUGGUGGGGUAGUGGCUUACCAAGGCUUUGACGGGUAGCCGGCCUGAGAGGGUGACCGGCCACAAUGGGACUGAGAUACGGCCCAGACUCCUACGGGAGGCAGCAGUGGGGAAUAUUGCACAAUGGGCGGAAGCCUGAUGCAGCAACGCCGCGUGCGGGAUGACGGCCUUCGGGUUGUAAACCGCUUUCGCCUGUGACGAAGCGUGAGUGACGGUAAUGGGUAAAGAAGCACCGGCUAACUACGUG
rnacentral:rRNA from 1 species